UCUGGGCCGCAGCCCGCGCCCGAGCUGCAUUCCCACCCGCGCUGGGAGGGAGGGUGGGUUUCCUGUGGUUCCUGCCGCUUCAGCUAGCGGUCCCUGCCGCUUCAGCUAGCGGUCCCGAACCCUCCCGUACCGUGCCGCACCUUCUCCUCGUCGUUCCCUUUGACCCCCGCCGACAACAGUCCCGGCGCCCCGGGAGGAGAAACCGAGGCCCGAGGGGGCGGGGAGAGCCGGCGGAGUCCAGCCCUCCGGAUUCCGGGCCCCGCUCUUGGCUCAGUGUCCGGCCCCUCCGCCAGGCCGUGCGAGCUCUGCGGCUGUCUUGGAAGCAGAUGGAGACUGUCCCUUGGACGGCUUUGCGGGCCGAGCCGCAGGCAGCACGCACCCCUUUCUGCCCCGCAGGACCGUGGUCCGCAGCGCCAGAUGCCCCCCACCCCCGUGUGCAGGGCUGAGGCCUGCUGGGGACAAGUUGGAUCUGUUGCAGAUGAGCCCACCGUGUGCAGAGGCAUCGUGAGAGUUGUAUCAGGAGCAUUCUAGACCCCAAUGUCCUUGAGCUUGGAGAAAGAUGAGAUCACGUUGGAACCUGGACACUUGUGACCUCCUGCCCUGUGGCAUCCUCCUCGCUCUAGGAGUGCUGCCUUGGAGCUGGAGAUUGCUGGAGGAAGCCUGAGUGGAUGGAGGCACUGGCCCUCUCAGGGUGACCUGGGCCCCAGCUGCCCUGGAGGGACCUCCUCAUGAUUAUGUUGGGGUUGAUCGUGGACACUGGAGUAGCAUGAUGAAGAAUAAUGUUGCCAGGUGAAGCAUCGCCAGACCUUCUUACCCUGUUGCCUCAGCACAGCAUGGAAGCACUUUUCCCUCUGUGUAAGCAGGCCAGAGGGAAAGCCCUGGGACCCUGGAGGCUUGAGGUCCAGAGCUAGAGACUUCAGCUCUUUCUGCCACUCCCCCAGCAGGUGUCACCGAGCGCCGUGGACCAGGAAGACCGGUUCCCUUCCACCUGGGCCAGGUUGUCCAGCAGCCUCACGUCUCCCAACCUACUCCUCCUGUAACGUUUUAGAACCAAGAGUUUUCUGCACUGUGCAUCCUUGUCCUCUCACCCACCCAAUAAAUCUUGAAACUGC